UAUGUUCUUCGUGAACAUGGCGUACUGCUCAGUAACACGUGGAUAACCUGCCCUUGGGUCCGGCAUAACCCCGGGAAACUGGGGAUAAUUCCGGAUAACGCACAUAUGCUGGAAUGCUUUAUGCGUCAAAUGGAUUCGUCUGCCCAAGGAUGGGUCUGCGGCCUAUCAGGUAGUAGUGGGUGUAAUGUACCUACUAGCCGACGACGGGUACGGGUUGUGAGAGCAAGAGCCCGGAGAUGGAUUCUGAGACAUGAAUCCAGGCCCUACGGGGCGCAGCAGGCGCGAAAACUUUACAAUGCGGGAAACCGUGAUAAGGGGACACCGAGUGCCAGCAUCAUAUGCUGGCUGUCCGGGUGUGUAAAAUACACCUGUUAGCAAGGGCCGGGCAAGACCGGUGCCAGCCGCCGCGGUAACACCGGCGGCCCGAGUGGUGAUCGUGAUUAUUGGGUCUAAAGGGUCCGUAGCCGGUUUGGUCAGUCCUCCGGGAAAUCUGACGGCUUAACCGUUAGGCUUUCGGAGGAUACUGCCAGGCUUGGAACCGGGAGAGGUAAGAGGUACUACAGGGGUAGGAGUGAAAUCUUGUAAUCCCUGUGGGACCACCUGUGGCGAAGGCGUCUUACCAGAACGGGUUCGACGGUGAGGGACGAAAGCUGGGGGCACGAACCGGAUUAGAUACCCGGG
rnacentral:rRNA from 1 species